AUUGAACGCUGGCGGCAGGCCUAACACAUGCAAGUCGAGCGGAUGAGUGGAGCUUGCUCCAUGAUUCAGCGGCGGACGGGUGAGUAAUGCCUAGGAAUCUGCCUGGUAGUGGGGGACAACGUUUCGAAAGGAACGCUAAUACCGCAUACGUCCUACGGGAGAAAGCAGGGGACCUUCGGGCCUUGCGCUAUCAGAUGAGCCUAGGUCGGAUUAGCUAGUAGGUGAGGUAAUGGCUCACCUAGGCGACGAUCCGUAACUGGUCUGAGAGGAUGAUCAGUCACACUGGAACUGAGAAACGGUCCAGACUCCUACGGGAGGCAGCAGUGGGGAAUAUUGGACAAUGGGCGAAAGCCUGAUCCAGCCAUGCCGCGUGUGUGAAGAAGGUCUUCGGAUUGUAAAGCACUUUAAGUUGGGAGGAAGGGCAGUAAGUUAAUACCUUGCUGUUUUGACGUUACCAACAGAAUAAGCACCGGCUAACUUCGUGCCAGCAGCCGCCGUAAAAC
rnacentral:rRNA from 1 species